UACAGAGGUCUCAAGCGUUGUUCGGAUUCAUUGGGCGUAAAGGGUGCGUAGGUGGUGGGGUAAGUCGGAUGUGAAAUCCCGGGGCUCGAACCCCGGAACCUGCAUUCGAUACUGCCUUGCUCGAGUACUGGAGAGGAGACUGGAAUUUACGGUGUAGCAGUGAAAUGCGUAGAUAUCGUAAGGAAGACCAGUGGCGAAGGCGAGUCUCUGGACAGUUACUGACACUGAGGCACGAAGGCCAGGGGAGCAAACGGG
rnacentral:rRNA from 1 species